CGGAUAAAAGUGGCAGUUGGGGUAAGCCGGACGCCCCACCCCUCGGAUGCAAGCCGCCUUCCUGCUGACACGCCCGCGGUUUCUCGGCUGUGCGGCGGGAGACACACCUGAGGAAGGGGACGGAGCCAGGCUCCCGAACCGCGGAAACUCUGCCUCGCUGCUUCCCCAGAAAACAGGAACUGGCCGGAAAACUUGAAGAGUUUCCCUUUAUUUACUUUGUUCUUCCAACCAUACCUGUAUCAUAUAGAAGACAAGAGGUGACUGCAAUCACGUGACUUCCCUCUAAGAUAAGAAAUGCUUUCUGUUGAUAACAGAGAAUUUUUCAGGAUCAUCAAAUAUUUUAAAAAGAUGCCUGUGAUUCCUAUGUCAGCACUGCUGCCUUCUAGAAGAGGAGCAUUAGAGCUUCCUGCUUUAUGAGGAUCAAGUUCUUUGCCCAACUGCAUUGGACUGAUGAAAAUCUUGGAACCAAAGUAGACGUUAGAUGAAAAUACAGAUAAAGGAAUAUGAGAAAUCUGGGUUAGACCAGUGGGCUAUCUGGUCUAGCAUUCUGUUUGACACAGUAGCUAUGUACUAUAUUCAUGAAACUCAUAAACAGGUAACAAGAGGCCCAUUUCUGAGUACAGUUAAUAACAGAAGUUGCUGCCAAGAACCAUCUGCUUUCCUCAGAAUGUAAAAAGAAAACAGACCAGGCCCUUUUGUGUCAAGGUCAAUUCUGUCAAUGCACUGACUCUAACUUCAAGAAAACAACUAAUUUAACAAUACGUUACCCAUCCUUCGUCAGCAAGGUAUGUGUUAUUUGAACCACUGGCUUACUUUCUGAUGUCUGAUAGUUCCUUUUUGAGAACAGUGAACGACACAAAUUGUCUAAUGGCCUCUUGAAGUCCUAAGAGACUUCAAGAAGCCAUUAGGCACAAUGGAUUUGGGGAAGCAGUAAGCAUUUAUCCCUGCCUAGGCAGGAUCUAGAUCAGAGUUUCUCAACCUUAGCAACUUUAAAAUAUGUGGACUUCAACUCCCAGAAUUCUGGGACUAGAAGUCCACGUAUCUUAAAGUUGCCAAGGUUGAAAAACAUUGUUCUAGAUAGUCUUUGCCCCCUCCUUUUUCUUAGUCCACACAUUGCCCUCUUGAUAGAGCAUGGGUGCAGAGCCUGGAAAAGAUGAAUCUCUUUGCCAUAUUUUCUUCUGUGAAUUUGAACCUGGAAACAGAGUUUGGCUUCCCCAGGCAUUCCCUUAAUUGUUUGAUUUCUGGGAGGGAUCAGCUAUGUGAAGGAGAGGCCAGUGAAGAAACUGGCAUCUUCCCUUUUCUUUUUACCUGCACCAGAGUCCUGUCAUGCUCACUCUGAUGGGUUUGUGAUGCUCUAGGCACCCUUAAAUGCCACAGUUUUACCUUACACUUCAGACAAAGCGAAGUUCUCAUAUGCUUCUCACAAACUGGUGACCUCUGAAUCUGUGAGAUCAUAGUUGUUGUUACUCCAACCAGUAUGUUAGUUGAGGGUGAUAGGAGUUCCAGCCCAACACAUUCAGACCAGAAGGAAUCAUACUGGGAGAAGCUAGUUUUAUCUAUCUGCCAAAUUGGGGAGCCAAGCUGCUUUUUGUACUAACUGCAUUCUGCCCUGUGAUGCCUCUUUGGUUCUUUUCCCACUCUGGGGUUGUGAGGCUCAUGAUGUGAUUAACCAGGUCAAUUAAAAAUCUUAUGCACAACACAUGAAGCAUAAUUGCCUUUAACUUUGGUUAGGUUUCCUGUGGCUUAGUCUGAUGAACAAAUCCAGGCCAUUUGUUUAGUUUAUGAAUCCAUAUAUUGUGGAAAUUCAGAAAAUGAGUUUAUUUAGUAACCAGGGUAAAUGUAUUGUCUGGACACAGCCACUCUAGCAAUUAGGUAAGAAUGUAACAGUAGCUUCACAUUUCAUGGCAUUUCCUAAGUCCAUCCAUAGUUGCUACAGCUUUGUAUCACCUAUUAUAUCUCCCAUAUUACUAAAUCGAGACCCCCUGAGUGAAGAGGAACUUGGAGGCCACUUCUCACAUUACUGAAUGUGAUAUUAUGUAUGUGGCUAUAGCAUAAGAAAUUUAUUAAAGUAAACUAGCAUAGACAUGGAAAAAAAUGUUGGGUCCAGGUGAAGUCUGGCCAGUAAAGACUUGCUUCCAUUUGCUGUCUUUCUGGCUUUGGGAAGGGUUGGGCAGCUUCAUGUAGGAACAGGAACAAUCAUCUUCAUCCUCUUCCUCCUUUCUAGUUCCUGACAUAGAUUAUCAGCCAAGUCACUAAGGCCAUUUUUUUCCUAAAUCCAGACAUGAAUGCAGAUUGAGAUGGAUCCAGUUAAUCCAUCCAGAAACUCUUGGUGCUAUAAUACCAUCAUACAUUUCUCCAUUUGGUCAGAAAGGGUAGACUGGAAAUGGGACAAUAAUUGCCUAACAUGUUGCUGGUCACAAUCCAAUGCUGACCUGAGAAUGAUUAGACCCACUGAUUUUUUUAUGGCCAUAAACAUACUCAGAACUAUUGGAAUAAGGUCAGAGGGAAACUGAUCUGUUUCUGUUCACCACAAGGGUAGAGAAAAUCAUAGGAAAAGAUCUGGCCUCAUUUCUCACUGCUCCCCCACAAACUGGCUGGGUUUAGUUAUGAGUCCCAUUGCCAAGGGUGGAAAAGAGAAAUUUUCUCCACAUCUGAAAUUAACAUAUGUAACAGCAGCUAUAAAGAAAAAAAUAAUCUCCAUAUCUAGUUAUUCCAGAAAACACUCCCAUUUUUUUUUCUUUCUAAAGAGCCACUGCAAGAGUUCAAGGCAUAUAGCUGAAAUUUUCAGUAAUUUUGAUCAAUUAAAAUUGCAGUUGUUGAGACUUGUAAUCUGGUAACAUCCUCCCAGCAAAAUCCAUUUCUAAGCAUUUCUUCCUUAUACCUGGAUGCUUUCCCUGAGCAUGCUGAUAUCUCCCCUUUGUUUCUCAGGAGCCACAUUUUGGUCUUUUCUCCAGUUUUUAUUCUUGAUUUGCAUAGCCUGGUGUUUGAUCACAUGGAAGUUACUCCAGGCUACCGACAUUUGUUUCAGAGUGUGCCUCUAGGAUGAGAGCUAGAAGGAACAGGACACUCUACGGUUAGAACUUAGAAGAACUCUUGAAGUUGUGUUCGGAGCUACUAACCUGUAGGGCUAGUAGAAACAACUUGUAGAGCCAAAAGCUAUCACGCUAUUGGUCUUACUUACCCUUGACUAUACAGCCAAUGGCUUCUACAUGAAAUCGCUGUAUUUCGCUGCCAGGAGUUUUCACUGCUGAAGGAAAUAGCAGAAAACAAUAUGUAGUUUUUCUCUGUUAGGAAUGUGCCUAGAAUGGAAGAUAAGAGCAGCUCUCCUAACUAUGGUUUGUAAAACCAGAGAUUUAUGUAAUAAAGACACUCUACCUUUUUCAGGACAUGCAGUUCUAGUCUUGUUUUGGGGUGAAGUAUAGAAAAUGAAUCUCAAAUAGUUAACUGUCUUAUGCAUUUAAGGCCCGUUAGGGGAUACCACUAGCUUUGCAAGCAUUUGGCCUGUUUGCCUUGUUAUUGCUAUCAUGAUUUUUGAAGUGUUUGAACAUUACAGAAAAAUGGAAGAAAACCACCCUAUGCAUGCUGACAGUUGGAAUGUGUGAAACUCUACACAUGAUAAAAGGAAAGAGGAACAAGCAAACUUGCCUCUCUCUCUAGGCCUCCUCAUCACUUUUCUUACAGAGAAGUAUACUGUGUGCCACAAAGACCUUGCUCUGCCUCUGAGAUUCAUUCUGAUUAUUCACAUUUCUGAAUUGGGAGGAAAGCCUCUACAGACAGAGGAGAUGCAACAGCAAUGCGGGCACUUCAUAUCUGGAAAAUGACAAGACUGAGGAAGUGGGGUAGUAAAGCUCGCAUGCUUUGUCUCACUUGCCAUCAGUGCAUACAAGCAAUGCAUCUCUUAGAACAUCUGAAAAGGGCUUAUGUUAUUACCCUGGACAAUAGUCACCAAAUUAUCUCAAAGUCAUAGGCCAACAGUUCAGUAUCUGCUUCUUACAUGGGCUCACCAAGUUAUUGGGCCCACAGUCAUAUAUUUAAGAUGGGCACCCAUAUUAAAUAAAUAAAGUCUAUUGUGCACACCAGAAAAUCAUGUUACCAGAAAGAAAAUGAGAAAAAAGUAUCUCCUAGACAUUUUCUAUUUUCAAGUUUGGAUACCAAAGACAGCCUAGAAUGGAUCUGGUCAUUUCUGAAUAGGCAGCUCCCAGGGUGAAGAGGGUAAAGAAGAAUAGGAGAGAUGUUUUUCCCAUGUGAUCCUUACUGUGCUUUACCAGAGAACUUUGUACAUCCCACUCACAUCUAUCUUCAAAAGAGUGAUAAAGAAUCUAACAUAACCUCUAAACAGAAGCCUGUUAUGUGAGCACAGCCAAAUUUUCUCUAUUGCCUUUUUCCUUUAUGUGUGCUUGCUAUAGACUGAUAAAGCCUACAUGUUCUCUGCUGAGCUAUAGUAAAUUCUGAUCUUAAAUGCUGAUGGAAAAAAGGGAAAGAAUAAAGCUCUUGUGCAGUUCGUAAUGCUUC